rnacentral:lncRNA from 1 species
CAGUCGACGGAGGCAGACAAGUUGGGCAGGGUGGCGGUUUACCAUGGCUGCGCAAUUGCGGCACAAAGGGCAACCUGCGCCGGUUUACUGUGAGUUCCUCAUCUCUAAUCCCAUCUCCCCCUGCAAUAUUAUCCAUGUUUGAGGAGUGCGUGCAUCAGUAGGGUGUGCUUUAUUGGGGUUUUUUGGCCAGGUAAUUUUAGUUAGGGUUUUGAUCGAUUAUUUCUGUGUUCAAUUUUUCUCGGCAAUGUAGGUGACAGUGCGGAUCAGUUCAGUGUAGAGGUUCACCAUGGGGGCCUUUUUAUUGGUCAUGGUACUCUCAAAACAUACUUCGAUGAGAAGGUGGACUUUUUGAUUA